rnacentral:rRNA from 1 species
UACGUAGGGGGCAAGCGUUGUCCGGAUUUAUUGGGCGUAAAGAGCGUGUAGGCGGUUUGGUAGGUCCGUUGUGAAAACUCGAGGCUCAACCUCGAGACGUCGGUUGAAACCGUAUGGCUAGAGUCCGGAAGAGGAGAGUGGAAUUCCCGGUGUAGCGGUGAAAUGCGCAGAUAUCGGGAAGAACACCCGUGGCGAAGGCGGCUCUCUGGGACGGUACUGACGCUGAGACGCGAAAGCGUGGGGAGCGAACAGG